rnacentral:rRNA from 1 species
GACGAACGCUGGCGGCGUGCCUAAUACAUGCAAGUCGAACGCAGUGGGGACGGGUGAGUAACACGUGGGUAACCUCCCCAUCAGAGGGGAUAACACUUGGAAACAGGUGCUACACCGCUACUGAUGGAUGGGCCCGCGGUGCCUGAGCUAGUUGGUGAGGGAACGGCUCACCCAGGCCACGAUGCAUAGCCGACCUGAGAGGGUGAUCGGCCACACAGUGACUUAGACACGGCCCAGACUCCUACGGGAGGCAGCAGUAGGGAAUCUUCGGCAAUGGACGAAAGUCUGACCGUGCAACGCCGCGUGAGUGAAGAAGGUUUUCGGAUCGUAAAACUCUGUUGUUAGAGAAGCGGUAUCUAACCAGAAAGCCACGGCUAACUACGUGCCAGCAGCCGCGGUAAUUC